CAGUUUUGGGAAUCUGGGUGAGAUACUCUCCUAGCUUCUGCAGAGCUUGUAAAUUGAUGCUGAAUUCUUUGAUGUAAUUAAACAUUUUAUAAUCAAGAAACAGUGUCAAGCAGAUUCCUGUCAACACAUCAUCCAGCAUGGCU